ensembl:lncRNA ZBTB46-AS2 ZBTB46 antisense RNA 2
CGGGGGGUCUUCACACGGGCAGGUCCUGGAGGGAAGGAGGAGGCCACCGCGCCCACCUCCCAUCUGAAGGCACAGCACCGCAGUGGUGGCCUGUGCCAGAGGAGGGGGUGAAGGAUGGAAUGUCCUCAUGGAAAAGAAAGAACAUGUGAGUGCUUCUGAAAACACAGCAAGAGGACUUGAGCACAAGCUAAAGGAAAAACAACCCUAUAUAGUUUCUUCGAGUGAGAAAAAUAAUGCCAAACAAAAUAAUUUUAUGUAACUACCUC